rnacentral:rRNA from 1 species
GGCGCCUAAGUCUGGGGUGAAAUCUUGCCGCUUAACGGUAAAAUUGCCUUGGAUACUGGGUGCCUUGAAUCUGACAGAGGUCGGUGGAAUUCGUGGUGUAGCGGUGAAAUGCAUAGAUAUCACGAAGAACACCAGUGGCGAAGGCGGCCGGCUGGGUCAGUAUUGACGCUGAGGCACGAGAGCGUGGGGAGCGAACAGGAUUAGAUACCCUGGUAGUCCACGCUGUAAACGAUGUAUGCUAGUUGUUGGGCCUUUGGGUUCAGUGACGCAGUUAACGCAGUAAGCAUACCACCUGGGGAGUACGUUCGCAAGAAUGAAACUCAAAGGAAUUGACGGGGGCCCGCACAAGCGGUGGAGCAUGUGGCUUAAUUCGAUGCAACGCGAAGAACCUUACCCGGGCUAAAUCUCCGGCGACCGCCCCCGAAACGGGGCUUCCCUUCGGGGCGCCGGCGAAGGUGCUGCAUGGCUGUCGUCAGCUCGUGCCGUGAGGUGUUGCCUUAAGUGGCGCAACGAGCGCAACCCCUGUGGUUAGUUACCAGCACGUCAAGGUGGGGACUCUAGCCAGACUGCCUACGCAAGUAGUGAGGAAGGUGGGGACGACGUCAAGUCAUCAUGGCCCUUAUGUCCGGGGCUGCACACGUGCUACAAUGGAUGGUACAGAGGGAAGCUACCGCGCAAGCGGAUGCAGAUCUCCAAAGCCAUUCCCAGUUCGGAUUGGAGU